rnacentral:ncRNA from 1 species
ACACAAGGCUUAAUACAAUGGGCCCACUAAAGAGUAAUCUUUUGUUGAGAAUCCGGCUAUAUCGGUGAACCCCUGUACCACAUGGUACAGGGCAAUACCGAGGGAAGUCCGACAAAAUGUCGGACCCUGUAGAGACUACACGCCAGACGUCCUGUUAAAAGGAUGAUGAUAUAGUCCUACCCUUGCAGUAAUGCGAGA